GUAGCCCCGCCUGACCUGAGGUCC
rnacentral:rRNA from 1 species